rnacentral:rRNA from 1 species
AAUGAACGUUGGCGGCAUGGAUUAGGCAUGCAAGUCGAGCGAGAAGUGUAGCAAUACACGGAAAGCGGCGGAAGGGAGAGUAAUACGUGGGAAUCUGCCCUUAGACCUGGGAUAGCAGCGGGAAACUGCUGGUAAUACCAGAUAAUGUCUAUGGACCAAAGGUGUGAUUCCGUCUAGGGAUGAGCCCACGUCCUAUUAGCUAGUUGGUAGGGUAAUGGCCUACCAAGGCGAUGAUGGGUAGCGGGUGUGAGAGCAUGACCAGCCGCACUGGGACUGGGACACUGCCCAGACACCUACGGGUGGCUGCAGUCGAGAAUCUUAGGCAAUGGGCGCAAGCCUGACCGAGCGAUGCCGCGUGCGGGAUGAAGGCCUUCGGGUUGUAAACCGCUGUCGAGGGGGAGCAACUUCCAUAGAGUUAUCUUUAUGGAUUGAGUGAUCCCUGGAGGAAGGACGGGCUAAGUUCGUGCCAGCAGCCGCCGCGGUAA